rnacentral:rRNA from 1 species
AGGUAGCUUGCUACCAGACGUCGAGCGGCGGACGGGUGAGUAAUGCUUAGGAAUCUACCGAGUAGUGGGGGAUAGCCAUUGGAAACGAUGAUUAAUACCGCAUAUAUCCUACGGGGGAAAGCAGGGGACCUUCGGGCCUUGCGCUAUUCGAUGAGCCUGAGUGAGAUUAGCUAGUUGGUGGGGUAAAGGCCUACCAAGGCGACGAUCUCUAGCUGGUCUGAGAGGAUGAUCAGCUACACUGGGACUGAGACACGGCCCAGACUCCUACGGGAGGCAGCAGUGGGGAAUAUUGCACAAUGGACGAAAGUCUGAUGCAGCCAUGCCGCGUGUGUGAAGAAGGCCUUCGGGUUGUAAAGCACUUUCAGCGAGGAGGAAAGGUUAGUCGUUAAUAUCGGCUAGCUGUGACGUUACUCGCAGAAGAAGCACCGGCUAAUUUAGUGCCAGCAGCCGCGGUAAUACUAAAGGUGCAAGCGUUAAUCGGAAUUACUGGGCGUAAAGCGCGCGUAGGUGGUUUGUUAAGUUGGAUGUGAAAGCCCAGGGCUCAACCUUGGAACUGCAUUCAAAACUGACUCACUAGAGUACGAGAGAGGUUAGUGGAAUUUCCUGUGUAGCGGUGAAAUGCGUAGAGAUGGGAAGGAACACCAGUGGCGAAG